rnacentral:tRNA from 1 species
GGUUGUAGCUCACUGGUAGAAUGCUUGCCUCGCAUGCAUGAAGCCCUGGGUUUGAUCCUCAGCACCA